AUACGGAGCAUCCGAGCGUUAUCCGGAUUUAUUGGGUUUAAAGGGUGCGCAGGCGGCCAUUUAAGUCAGCGGUUAAAUCGUGGGGCUCAACCCCAUUCUGCCGUUGAUACUGGGUGGCUUGAUUGCGGUCGAGGUUGGCGGAAUUCGUUGUGUAGCGGUGAAAUGCAUAGAUAUGACGAAGAACACCGAUUGCGUAGGCAGCUGACCAGACCGCAAAUGACGCUCAUGCACGAAAGUGCGGGGAUCGAACAGGAUUAGAUACCCUGGUAGUCCGCACAGUAAACGAUGAAUACUUGUUUUCGGCGAUAUAAUGUCGGAGGCAAAGCGAAAGCGAUAAGUAUUCCACCUGGGGAGUACGCCGGCAACGGUGAAACUCAAAUGAAUUGGCGGG
rnacentral:rRNA from 1 species